GAUGAACGCUGGCGGCGUGCCUAAUACAUGCAAGUCGAGCGAAUGGAUUAAGAGCUUGCUCUUAUGAAGUUAGCGGCGGACGGGUGAGUAACACGUGGGUAACCUGCCCAUAAGACUGGGAUAACUCCGGGAAACCGGGGCUAAUACCGGAUAACAUUUUGAACCGCAUGGUUCGAAAUUGAAAGGCGGCUUCGGCUGCCACUUAUGGAUGGACCCGCGUCGCAUUAGCUAGUUGGUGAGGUAACGGCUCACCAAGGCAACGAUGCGUAGCCGACCUGGGAGGGUGACCGGCCACACUGGGACUGAGACACGGCCCGGACUCCUACGGGAGGCAGCAGUAGGGAAUCUUCCGCAAUGGACGAAAGUCUGACGGAGCAACGCCGCGUGAGUGAUGAAGGCUUUCGGGUCGUAAAACUCUGUUGUUAGGGAAGAACAAGUGCUAGUUGAAUAAGCUGGCACCUUGACGGUACCUAACCAGAAAGCCACGGCUAACUACGUGCCAGCAGCCGCCGUAA
rnacentral:rRNA from 1 species